UUGUUUGUGAUGAUUAUAAAAAAUUCCUCGUACUGAUUGCUAUUGCCAUAGCGUGACAGACACGAUUACACCCAUAGAAUAUGAGCAAC
rfam:Lupinus angustifolius cultivar Tanjil contig_20355, whole genome shotgun sequence.